GCUCUUUUUUGCUGUCAUGGCGGCCUCCGAGAUGGCUAUAAGAGUACAUUUGUGUGGUUCCGGAAUUUAAAUGAAAAUUGGGUGUGGUGUCCCCCAGUUGUGAUCUUGCUCCCUAGAGGCUGAGAAGCUGUGGGCUUGGCAGAAGAAGACGAGUUUCUCUGAUGAAGGAGGUCUAUCUUUAGUCAAAAGUGUGUGAAUAGCUGCCCAUCCCUGCUGGAUCUUCAAGGAGCUCUCAAGAUGGUGUGUUUCUAGAGCUAGACUAUGGGUGGCACUUAGGGGUCCUUGUAGAAGAAGCUCUACUAAAGAGCUGGCUUCUUUGUGUGAAGAGUGGGGCUAUUUGUGUUUGGAUGUAGUAAUGCACAGGCAAAUGCUUGACACGAGAACUCAAUAUUCUUUACUUAUGGUGACCUUACUGCUUAAGGGAAUAAAAGAGUAACUUCUAAUCAAUUUCUAGUGCUAAAGAUUCUAUUUAUUUUAAAUUGGUUUUUCAUCAUAGAACUUUUUCCCCCCUAACCCACAACUUGACAACUGGAUGUAGAAUGAAAUCAAAGCUCAAUGUGUCUGUCCUAGGGGAUGUAGCUCAGUUGACAGAGUGCUUGUCCUAUUAGAUGAAAAGUUCGCUUCCUAGCACAGAGGAAAUGGCUCUGUUGGUACCCAUCUAGGAUUCCAGCAUUCUGGAGCUGGAGGCAGGAGAUAACCAGAAGCUCAAGUGUAGAGAGUUUGGAGCCACCUGGGCUACAUGAAACCCCGCCAAAAACAAAAAAGCAAGCACAGUGUUUUGAAUUAUGAUAAAAUGAAGAUCAGAUAGUACAGAGGAUGGCAGGACUGUUAAGAAGAGGUAAUGAAGGAUCUGGCCCUUGUUUAAAGGUUCAACUGUGAUGUUAUUUUUAAAAACUCCUGACCUCUGUGACAUUUUCCCUAAUUAUGAAAUUUUCCUUUGUACAAUGAACUACUCCUGAUUUUGCUGUGAAAAUUGGAUAUGAAUUUGUAGAUAUUUGUAUCAAGAUGUAGAAAAACUGCCAAUGAACUUCAAUGGAAAUCUGUGAUCCUUGUGUAUUACUACCUUACAGUGCUAUUAAUUCACAUUUUUUACAUUAAAGACUAUUCCCAGCUUUAAAUUUUUAAAUAAAUGAUCCUGAAGUUCAGUG